rnacentral:misc_RNA from 1 species
ACACAUCAACUCUCAUGGCUUGCCGUGACGAGCUUGGACUUUGGAGGUCUUGCUGGCCUGUGGCCGGCUCCUCUCAAAUGAAUUAGCCUGCCGGUGUUUGGUGGGAUCACAGGUGUGAUAACUAUCUACGCUUGUGGUUUUCCACCAGGUAACCCUCAGCGAUGGAGGUUCACUGGAGCUUAUAAACGUCUCUCCUCAGCGAAGACAGCUUUUUUAAC